AUCAGGUUCUGCUUGGUGAAUCAUCAAGUUUACUGUCGAAAGAGGAACUACCAUGAAAACCCCUGUGCUAGAGGUUUCAGAUGGAAGACAUCUCUUUUUUUGGAUGAAGAUAACACCUUGAAAUCGGACAUAAAAUGGGGUGGAAACAAGGAUAAAGAGAUUCAUCUUUCCUUCUGUUUUGAAGCUGGCCUCUGAUUUGCAAAAUCAGUUUACUUCUUUGUACUGUAUGCAGAAAGUUGCACCAGUAAACCCUUAGCAGACCCAUUCAACACCCACCUUUACUAGCAACCUUAAUCUGAAAUGAAAAUAAAGCUCAUCGCGUUAUGUCUUAUUUUGA
rnacentral:lncRNA from 1 species